UACGAAAAGGAGCAGGUGUUAUUCAGAUUAACUGGGCGUAAAGGGCACGUAGGUGGUUUGUCGCGUCUGCUGUGAAAACCCGAGGCUCAACCUCGGGCCUGCAGUGGGUACGGGCAGACUAGAGUGCGGUAGGGGAGAUCGGAAUUCCUGGUGUAGCGGUGAAAUGCGCAGAUAUCAGGAGGAACACCGGUGGCGAAGGCGGAUCUCUGGGCCGUAACUGACGCUGGAGGAGCGAAAGCAUGGGGAGCGAACAGG
rnacentral:rRNA from 1 species